CUGCCGGGUCCCCCCAACCUGGGUGGAAGGGAGGAGGAAGGUACCGCAGCAGUCCUGGCUGGUGGUGACUCAUCUCACUCCCAAAGGAGAAAUUCAAGGUCUUGGCCGAUUGUCCAACACAUAGCGGAAUAAGAACAUUGUCUUCAUAAGAAAAGUUCAAUGCUCUAGCAACGGCAAACGCUGCGGGCCUGAUUCUGACCUCCGAUGUGUGUAAAUCAGCAAUAACCCCGAUGAAAUAAAUGGAGUCAUGGAGGUGUAAACCCACUAACACUGGAUCAGAACCAGCCCCUGUGAGAAACGCAUUUAUUGCAUAAACUGUUUUAGAUUGCACCUUUCCUUAAAAAAAAAAUAGAAAAUCUUCCUUUGGAAGAACAAAGAAGCCAAGUUCUGCACUUCCCACCUCAUAAACCCUUCCCCGCCCCCCUUUCCAACGGUCUGCUAAGCUGCUCUGAAGCCAUGGAAAAUGCAGGGUUUUGAAAAUGAUGCCACAUGAUAAUCAGAAAACAGAUGUUGACGAAGUUGCUUCUGACAAAGACUUCAUUCCCAGCCUAAAAUAUGCCUAGGGAUUUAGCAUGAAUUUAAACACUCAAACCUUGCAACGGGAGUUGACUCGCGACUUGGUCUGAAACCGCAGUAUUGUCAGCACGUCUGGCGUUGAAUCUGCUCUCAGCUGGGUGGAUUUUCAGCCUUUAACUUGCCACUCGAAUCACCUCAAGGCAGGGAAAAGGAGGAGGAAAAUAAUAACCAGAAGAACACCUCAACCAGCAACAGUUUCAACACCUCGAGCAGGAAAGUAAUCAGAUUUUUUUUUUCCUCCUGUGGCUCAGACGCCAUGACUUCUGCAAAAGGUGUCUUUGAUCCUUCCCUUUAAGGCCCAUGCCAUAAAAAAAAAAGUCAUAGCUAAAGUCCACUUUAAAGUGAAGAGAUUUGAGCCCUCUUUUGCCCCCCUCCCCUUCGUCUGAGGACCUUCCCUGGGAGUUUUUAUGAUUCCUCGUUGUGAUGGGCCCUUGUUACUUCAGAGCUGCGUACGGAGCAGACAGGCGGCUAAACUUGGCCAUAUCUAGUUUCUCAAUCUCUUCCGCUCUCUAGUUCAGGAAGGCGUAUGGAUUUCCUCUUUUCCUCCAUUAAACAUAAAAUAAAAUAAAAUAAAAUAAAAAGGCGGACCCAAAAAUCAAUAGGCACAAAGAACCUCCAAGAGUUCCACGCUGCCUGGUUGUCUCCUUCAAUCCACUACAUCACCCUGAAACUAUUUAACAAGCAUCCCUCUGAAAUGGGGUCUUUUAAAAGACUCUUCCCCCCCCCUCCUCUCUCCCCAAACGCCACUGGCUCUCAUAUAUUAUUUGGGCUAAUCUGAGGUUGUUCUCUCUGGUGUAGGGGGUGGGAUUUGUAUAGGCAGCUCCUUCCAUUGCUAGGAAUUUGGAGACAGAAUCCCCAGUUGACCAAGGAUAGUUGUUUUGGGGAUUAGAAAUGUCUGACCUUGGAGGUCACAGGUCAUGGUCUUGAAUAAGGAACAGACUCUUACAGAAGACUAAGUUGGACAAGUCAGGCGUCCAACAAAAAGAACGCCUUUUGUUUGGAACUAGAACCAGACUCCUCCCUCAAGAAUUAUGGACCUCCUCAAGGUGAUCAGAUACCUGCAGAUAAAGCAAAAUAAACAUGUUGACACAUUUGCUGGGGGGUGCGAGGGGAAAGGGAAAGAAGGCUGGAGCCACAAGAUCUUAUUAUUUAUUAUUUGUGUUCUGGGAGGGCCCAGUGGCUACAGCUGAGAAGAGGGUCUCAUUGGGUUAGGUACAAACACAGAGAAAGAGAAUUCUGCCCACAGAGUUUAGGCCCAGAUCCUCAAAGAUAUUGAGGUGCCUAACUGACAUGGAUUUUAUUCUAAAUACACUGCUAAGGGAAAGGAAGCAUCAUUAUCCCCAUUUUAUAGAGGGCAAGAAAGAUGAAGUGAUGCACCCAAGAUCCCACGGGAAGUUUGUGGCAGAGCCAGGAGCGGAGUCCAUGCCUCCUAAAUCCCUGUCCAAUGGCCUCAGUACACAAACACGUUUCUUCUCUUCUCAUUGGACUAUGGGAUUAUUGUGCUGCCCUAGGCAAAUCACAUCACCAUUCUGUGCCUCAGUUUCCUCACCUGUGAAAUGAUGAUAAUAAUACAUGCCUCCUUUAUAGCAUUCUUGUGAAACUUCAUUCAUGUUUGCAAAUGAUGCUAGGUCUGUAUAUGGAAGUAUUACAAGUAUCAUAAACAUUCCCAAGUGGAGAGAGGUGGAUGUCACAGAUAUUCAAUGAUUAAAGCCCUAUAUUAAACAACACAAAACUACUUCAUUCAGCAGUGAUGACCUUUCCAUGAGUUCCAAUGGUUUAGGUGACUGGUAAGAGUUACAGAGACAUGAAACAUAUAGGACCAAAAAUUGAUACCAGUUCAUGAUUGGUAGGUUGUUUAUGUGAAAAUGAACUGGCAAUGCCAGUCCAGUUUGGAGAGGAAUUCUUGUGUACAAAUCACAAUUAGAAAUUACUGUUCUUAUGUUGUCUCAGCAAAGAGGCCAAGGGAGUGAGUGGGCCAAUGUCCAUUCUAUGCAUCCGAAGAAGUGGGCUGUAGCCCACGAAAGCUUGUGCUCAAAUAAAUUUGUUAGUCUCUAA